GACGAACGCUGGCGGCGUGCCUAAUACAUGCAAGUAGAACGCUGAGGAGAGGAGCUUGCUCUUCUUGGGUGAGUUGCGAACGGGUGAGUAACGCGUAGGUAACCUGCCUUGUAGCGGGGGAUAACUAUUGGAAACGAUAGCUAAUACCGCAUAACAAUGGAUGACACAUGUCAUUUUUUUGAAAGGGGCAAUUGCUCUACUACAUGAUGGACCUGCGUUGUAUUAGCUAGUAGGUGAGGGAAUGGCUCACCUAGGCGACGAUACAUAGCCGACCUGAGAGGGUGGACGGCCAAACUGGGAAUGGGACACGGGCCAGGACCCUACGGGAGGGAGCAGGAAGGAAACUUCGGCAAUGGGGGCAAACCUGAACGGGCAAAGGCGCGUGAGUGAAGAAGGGUUUCGGAUCGUAAAGCUCUUGUGUAAGGGAAGAAAGAGUGGGGGAGUGGAAAGUGCACACUGUGACGGUAGCUUACCAGAAAGGGACGGCUAACUACGUG
rnacentral:rRNA from 1 species